AGAACAGGAAGCAAACAUCAGAUUCGUGAUGAAGACUAGUCGUGUCUACGAGAAGUCUUCAACACACCAACAGGAAGCUGUGAGGUUCAACUGUUUUAUGACGAGGAAACAUCGACAGUCUCGUCGGUCCUAGACGCAAUAACGUAUGAAGACACUACAACGAAAUGACUGGGAAGUUAGAAUGGUACCAGGUUCGGGUCUGCUAGUCACGCGGGUCGGGAUCUCCAACGGCCUCUGGUUCUCACAGAUGGUCAUGAGACUGGACAGAGCUGAAGAAUCAAGUGAAAAACACAAACGAAAAAUGUAAUGAAAGGGAAGAACAAAUCAUGGCAUGGAUAUCGGCUAUCAAAUCAUGCUAGUACCUGGGUCAAAGGUCAUGGUUCGGAUCCUGAUGAAGUCCUCCUUGGGCAGGGCUAUCCUCUACCAAACAGACCACAGCCAAUCAGCCCAAAGAUUACAACCAACAAGAAUCAGUUCAAGUUAUUUGUGCACUCACUUGAGAGACACGAAUAGAAUGCAUUUCAAGCUGUUGUGUAAGGUUUUCCGGUUAGGUAUAAUACAAUAACAAAACAGAAUUUAGGAUCUUCUGUCUGUUUCACAUGUAAUAGAAAUAUAUAUGUGUUAAGUUAAUCCUCUAAGAGACAAUGGGAAACUCCCACUCCCAUCACCCCGAGGCACUGCUUUCACGGCCAUGAGCUGCAAGUAUCCCUUGUAAACUCUUAACUCCAGUAACUCGUAAUCUUGUGCAUAUGUUCCAUCAUCCGUAAUGAGUCAAGUAGUUUGGUCUCUUGUUUUAUCGCACAUUGAGACCUCGCACCUGAGAAACAUCUGAAAAACGUAAACUUAAACAGAAGCAAGAUUAAUUCUGCGUUGUUCUUUACGGGCUAAUGUGUAUGUGAUGCAUAGAAGGUUAUCAAGGCUAUCUGUUGAGGAUAAAUUAAAAUGUUGUCUUCUGCUAUUCAUGCAUAAUGUUAUAUAUGGAACAAUACACCGCACUUUCUUUUUGAAAAUCUUGUCUAUACAGGUUUCUGUAAUGGUCAUAUAACACGUCAAUUGAGCACUGGUCAUCUGGUUGUUCCAAGUCCACAAACAAAUGUAAUGAUGAGAACUGUUCUCUAUAGGGCUUCUACUGCUUGGGAUAAGCUCGCCUUUAGCAUCAGACCCACUAAAAGUAGACGUUCUUUUAAAUAUUUGCUAAAAAAAACUAUUGAAGAAUCCCAUUUAGAUCAUUAGUAAGUGUGCUUGAUUACUAUCGGUUCCUAUUUUUUGUUAGACAUGGUUUCAUUUAUUCAGUGUUCAUUUUAUUUGAAUGAGUUUGUCGUUUAUUGUCGUUUGCUUUGUUUGGUUUUAUUGUUCGUUUUAUUGAUAGUGUGAUUUUUUAUUACUGUUUGUUUUAUAGCUAAUGAGGAUCCAAAUAAAGAAUAAAGAAUCUUGUAAUUUAGCAAAGCGGCAUAUAAAAUUUGGCCUAUGAGCAGCAAUCAGCAUACAAAUUGUAGUAGCAACAAAAUAACCAAAACUAGUUUAGAAUACAACGACCGGAGAGUUCAGCAUUGUUUUAUCGGUGGUGGAGCGCACAUCGGCUCAUUACAGCCCGUCUAUAAGGCUACUCACAAGUGCUCUACUGGGACUAUUCAGAUAUACAGAGGCCAUUCACCUUUAUCCAUGUAUCAGUUAAGCCCCAAGGAGGGCUAGAGUGUUUCU